GUGCAUUAAUUUUAAGAUUGCUAGGUGGGACAACCACAUAUCACAGGCAUAGAAAGUACAUGUUUGCAUCAGAAAGACACGGACAGACAGAUAGACAGACAUACAGACAGGUUAAUUUCUCAACAACAUCAGAAAUGAAAGAAAGACAAAGAAAAAGCCAUUCGUCUCCACCUCUAUUGCCAUGGAGACCAAUCAACUCGGCAGGAGCCUAUGUGAAAGACCAUAAUCUGAGAUGCGCAGGACAGAAGCCUGCCAACCGCACCCCUGUAAUAAUAAUACAAUAAUAUAGAGAUCUGAAGUCUGGAUGCAGGCCGUUCAUCAUAAUGUAAUACGAUUCUGAAGUCAUUCAUGUGUUUGAAAUAUUUUAGUCGGUCAGAUUUUUUCCAAAGAACACUUGAAAUGAUUCGUAUUACCGUUUCAAAUUUGAAUUAUCAUCAAAACCGUGGUAAUGAAACGUGUGUUUUGUUGUGUGUGAAAACAUGGCGGAAGGCAGUGAUAGCGCCGGGAGAUUUUUCAGCCUUCGAAGAGGACCAAAUCUGAAGUGUGGUCGUAUUUCUGGUUUUACAAGAGUGCCGAGGGAAACUUAAUCGAAGAUGGUCACCCUGUCUGCAGAACAUGCAAAACCAAUCGCUGCGAAAGGGGGCAACACUUAAAAUAUCUUGAGUCAUAUUCGUGAUCACCACCCACUACGUUAUAGCCUACACAAGAGUGGGCGAGCAGCAAGCAAACCCUGUGAUGCUACUGGUCCCUCCUCAUCUACAUUUGUGACACAGACACUCCAGCUAACAUGUAUAAGGCAGGCUGCUUAUGCACCCACAUCAAAAAUGCUCAAGACCUCAUUGCAAAGGACAUGAUGCCAUUUCAAUUUGUUGAGAGGCCUGGCUUUCUGAGGCUGAUGAGGGUUGACGUGCCUCAAUACAAAGUCAGUGCUGCUAAUUGUAUUGGUUGUUUGUUUAUUUGAUUUGCUUACUUAAGGUUGUGUUCAUUUAAAUCUGCACUAGGGGGUUUGUUUACCUCUCAUGGCCACAUGGUGGCAUCUUUAAUGUUAACGUUAUUAUUUGAAUGUUUAUGCACACACACAUUUCAUAGUGCUGCUAGUUUUAUUUGUUGUUUAUUGGUUUUCAAUAUAAAACUUGGUGAAAUGA